AAAACGGCCCUUCUCAGGGCCACCCAAACUUACUUAGCGGUCGAGG
rfam:Macrostomum lignano uti_cns_0003448, whole genome shotgun sequence.